rfam:Ictidomys tridecemlineatus contig019538, whole genome shotgun sequence.
AGAGUUGUGGCUCAGUGAUAGAACACUUGCUUAAAAUGCGAGAGGCCCUGGGUUCAAUCUCCAGUAAUGCAA